CGCGGAGUGGAGCAGUUGGUAGCUCGUCGGGCUCAUAACCCGAAGGUCGUUGGUUCGAAUCCUUCCUCCGCAA
rnacentral:tRNA from 1 species